rnacentral:rRNA from 1 species
AAAAACUGAGGUGGUAUACGAUGGUUCCGCGUCUGAUUAGCUAGUUGGUGGGGUAAAAGCCUACCAAGGCAACGAUCAGUAGCCGGCCUGAGAGGGUGAACGGCCACAUUGGGACUGAGACACGGCCCAAACUCCUACGGGAGGCAGCAGUGGGGAAUAUUGCACAAUGGGGGAAACCCUGAUGCAGCGACGCCGCGUGAGUGAAGAAGUAUUUCGGUAUGUAAAGCUCUAUCAGCAGGGAAGAAAUACUGACCAUAGGGUCAGCAGACGGUACUUGACUAAGAAGCCCCGGCUAACUACGUGCCAGCAGCCGCGGUAAUACGUAGGGGGCAAGCGUUAUCCGGAUUUACUGGGUGUAAAGGGAGCGUAGACGGCAGCGCAAGUCUGGAGUGAAAUGCCAGGGCUUAACCCUGGAACUGCUUUGGAAACUGUGCAGCUAGAGUGCAGGAGAGGUAAGUGGAAUUUCUAGUGUAGCGGUGAAAUGCGUAGAUAUUAGGAGGAACACCAGUGGCGAAGGCGGCUUACUGGACUGUAACUGACGUUGAGGCUCGAAAGCGUGGGGAGCAAACAGGAUUAGAUACCCUGGUAGUCCACGCUGUAAACGAUGAUUACUAGGUGUUGGGGGACCAAGGUCCUUCG